UUGGACGCAAGGCUUCCAUGAGGCUGUGAAGGAGGUUGCACGGAAACUGGUGGGGAUCUGAAAAGCUUUUAGUGGCCUCGCCACACACAGCACUUCAGAUGCUCAGGUGAUGAGCAACAUUUUCCAAACCCAGCUAGUGAGCACCCCACCUCCUCUGGCUUCCAGAACCUGGUGUGGAGGGCCAGGAGAGGCUUCGGGACUGAAGGGCAGAGCAGCAGACUCCGGGGCUCAUGUAGGAAGGAACAUGCCUUCAGCCAAAGAUUAUCCACGCUGCAUGGAGACUCUUGCUAAAUAUCACUGGUGUUCUCUGACAGCCAGGACAAGGAAGAAGCCCCGGCAUGCAAACCCCGGAGCCAGGGGUAGUGUUGCCAGGAGCCCUAUGCCUUGAUUUCACCCCCCAAACCCUUCAACUGGUACCUCAGAAGAGCAGAGGUGAAAGACAGGGAGCCUCCCGCUGAGAAGAGCUUCUGGGAACUCAAAGGCGCCAUUCAACUAAGAUGGAAUCUCACUCUGUCGCCCACGCUGCAGUGCAGCGGCAUGAUGUCGGCUCACUGCAACCUCCACCUCUCGGGUUCAAGUGAUUCUCCUGCCUCAGCCUCCUGAGUAGC
rnacentral:lncRNA from 10 species